AUGGGCAGGUUGAAGGUUGGGUAACACUAACUGGAGGACCGAACCGACUAAUGUUGAAAAAUUAGCGGAUGACUUGUGGCUGGGGGUGAAAGGCCAAUCAAACCGGGAGAUAGCUGGUUCUCCCCGAAAGCUAUUUAGGUAGCGCCUCGUGAAUUCAUCUCCGGGGGUAGAGCACUGUUUCGGCAAGGGGGUCAUCCCGACUUACCAACCCGAUGCAAACUGCGAAUACCGGAGAAUGUUAUCACGGGAGACACACGGCGGGUGCUAACGUCCGUCGUGAAGAGGGAAACAACCCAGACCGCCAGCUAAGGUCCCAAAGUCAUGGUUAAGUGGGAAACGAUGUGGGAAGGCCCAGACAGCCAGGAUGUUGGCUUAGAAGCAGCCAUCAUUUAAAGAAAGCGUAAUAGCUCACUGGUCGAGUCGGCCUGCGCGGAAGAUGUAACGGGGCUAAACCAUGCAC
rnacentral:rRNA from 1 species